AUUGAACGCUGGCGGCAUGCCUUACACAUGCAAGUCGAACGGUAACGGGCCUUCGGGUGCCGACGAGUGGCGAACGGGUGAGUAAUGCAUCGGAACGUACCUUUCACUGGGGGAUAACGUAGCGAAAGUUACGCUAAUACCGCAUAUUCUGUGAGCAGGAAAGCAGGGGAUCGUAAGACCUUGCGCUGAUUGAGCGGCCGAUGUCAGAUUAGCUAGUUGGUGAGGUAAAGGCUCACCAAGGCGACGAUCUGUAGCGGGUCUGAGAGGAUGAUCCGCCACACUGGAACUGAGACACGGUCCAGACUCCUACGGGAGGCAGCAGUGGGGAAUUUUGGACAAUGGGGGCAACCCUGAUCCAGCCAUGCCGCGUGAGUGAAGAAGGCCUC
rnacentral:rRNA from 1 species